UACAGAGGGUGCAAGCGUUAAUCGGAUUUACUGGGCGUAAAGCGUGCGUAGGCGGUUCGUUAAGUCGGUUGUGAAAUCCCUGGGCUUAACCUGGGAACUGCAGUCGAUACUGAUGAACUAGAGUGCGGUAGAGGGUGGCGGAACUCCGGGUGUAGCGGUGAAAUGCGUAGAUAUCCGGAAGAACACCGAUGGCGAAGGCAACCGCCUGGGCCUGCACUGACGCUGAGGUACGAAAGCGUGGGGAGCAAACAGG
rnacentral:rRNA from 1 species